rnacentral:rRNA from 1 species
AACGAACGCUGGCGGCAUGCCUAACACAUGCAAGUCGAACGAAGCCUUCGGGCUUAGUGGCGCACGGGUGCGUAACGCGUGGGAAUCUGCCCUUGGGUUCGGAAUAACAGUUAGAAAUGACUGCUAAUACCGGAUGAUGUCUUCGGACCAAAGAUUUAUCGCCCAAGGAUGAGCCCGCGUAGGAUUAGGUAGUUGGUGGGGUAAUGGCCCACCAAGCCGACGAUCCUUAGCUGGUCUGAGAGGAUGAUCAGCCACACUGGGACUGAGACACGGCCCAGACUCCUACGGGAGGAAGCAGUGGGGAAUAUUGGACAAUGGGCGAAAGCCUGAUCCAGCAAUGCCGCGUGAGUGAUGAAGGCCUUAGGGUUGUAAAGCUCUUUUACCAGGGAUGAUAAUGACAGUACCUGGAGAAUAAGCUCCGGCUAACUCCGUGCCAGCAGCCGCCGUAAUAC